AGGUGCGAUCAUACCAGCACUAAUGCACCGGAUCCCAUCAGAACUCCGCAGGUAAGCGUGCUUGGGCGAGAGCAGUACUAGGAUGGGUGACCUCCUGGGAAGUCCUCGUGUUGCACCUG
rnacentral:rRNA from 2 species